ensembl:rRNA 5S_rRNA 5S ribosomal RNA
GCCUACGGCCAUACCACCCUGAACACACCCAAUCUCGUCUGAUCUCGGAAGCUAAGCAGGAUUUGGCCUGGUUAGUACUUGGAUGGGAGAAUUACCCAGAUAUAGCUUGUU